GCCAAAACCAUCAUAUAUAAAGUGCAAUGUGCUAAUAUUACAUAAAUAAAUAUGUGUACUACAAUCCAUAUCAUAUAAUAUCCUUCAUUAACAAGCAUCCAAUCACAGGUAUACAUAAUUGUGUGGUUAAAAUCAAAUAGCUCAUUAUCAGAAAAAGAAGUCUCACAUGUAGCUCGAGACGGCAGGACCUGAUCAGCGUCAGAAAAACCAUACUGCGCAGGCGUCGAGUGCUUCUCAUCCCACAAGAUUAACAUUUCAUAUAAAAGACAUCCGAUACCACAACCAAGAU